UACAGAGGUCCAAGCGUUGUUCGGAUUCAUUGGGCGUAAAGGGUGCGUAGGCGGUCGUGCAAGUCGGAUGUGAAAUCUCAGGGCUCAACCCUGAAACUGCAUUCGAUACUGCGCGGCUAGAGUGCUGGAGGGGAGACUGGAAUUUACGGUGUAGCAGUGAAAUGCGUAGAUAUCGUAAGGAAGACCAGUGGCGAAGGCGGCUACCUGGACAAUUGCUGACGCUCAGGCACGAAAGCGUGGGGAGCAAAAGGG
rnacentral:rRNA from 1 species